AGCGGGAAGAGCUCAAGCUUAAAAUCUCCGUGCAAGUUUUGUGCGGCGAAUUGUAGUCUAUAGAGGCGUGGUCAGCGUGGGCGCUUGGGGCAAGUUCCUUGGAAGAGGACAGCAUGGAGGGUGAUACUCCCGUUCAUCCCUGAGUGGCUCGUGCGUACGACCCGUUUUCUUUGAGUCGCGUUGUUUGGGAAUGCAGCGCAAAGUAGGUGGUAAAUUCCAUCUAAAGCUAAAUAUUGGUGCGAGACCGAUAGCGAACAAGUACCGUGAGGGAAAGAUGAAAAGAACUUUGAAAAGAGAGUUAAAGAGUACCUGAAACUGCUGAAAGGGAACCGAAUCGUUUCCAGUGUCUAUAAUCUGUGGCAUAUUUCAUUGGCGAGCGUUUGCGUGCGUGUGCUGUGGCAGUGGCUUUUUUGGCUGCGCCUGGUGUGUGUGGUGUGAGUGUUUGCUGGUGCCCUGUGCUGCGGUGGGACGUCAAGGUCAGUUCGUAUGCUGCGGGAAAUGGCUGCCGAGGAGGUAGGGCUUACGCUCCGCGUUUGUCUGUUAUAUCUUGGUGGACGAGUCGUCGCGGUUGGGACUGAGGUGCCUACAACGUGCUUUUGAGUGGGUUUGUGUCUCCGUGUGCGCCGUGUGCGGAUAGCUUGCUAUGCGUGUGUGGUUGUGUGUGGAUUGAUGCGGGCCUUAACUUGUCGCCGUUCGGGACGUGACGAAAAU
rnacentral:rRNA from 1 species